CUCGUUUCCUGCCGCUUCGGGCCCUUCCGCUUCCAGGGCAUUGUUGACUGCUCCCUUCAGGGCACAGGUCCGGCAUCUCCACUGCGACCAAGGCGAUACCAUCGAGUCAUUUAUAGCUGCUGAUCAGCCAUAGUCUGCUAGUCUGCAUGUCGUGUGGUGGCUGUCUCCCCCCGCUACGCUGACUCUCCCUCACACCUCUCCCUCUUUGGACCGGACUAAGAACCGGACUUGACGAGUGUUAAAGUAAAGUCAGAGCCCUGAAGUAGCUGAGUGGUGACUGUUGCUUCAAYGCCGGUCUGCUACCUCGCUGCUAUCUCGUUGCUAUCUCGUUGCUAUAUCGCUACUACCUCGCUGCUUGGUUCGGGGUCCUGUCGGCUGUCUCCUGUCGACUCGCUUUUUGUUAUUGACCCUGUUUCCCUCUGCGUGUGUGUGUGUGGUGCGUGUGAGAAUUGACCAAGGUCUGGUGUAGGUUUGGUUAUUUCUUAUUAGUUUGGGUUGUUUAUUGAUUUGUUUAGUUAUUGUUUCUUUUGGUUUAUUGAGUUGGUGUCUCUGACCAGAGACUGAUUUUCUUUUCUUUGCGUGAUUUCUGAUGAAUUUCAAUAUUAUACUUCAGUUCUUUAAAUUGAUCAGUUAUUAAUUUGCUUUGUUUAUUUCGUUAUGGGAUUUGGUUUUCGUUGUUUGUGAGCCCUUUUAACAAGUGUUUGAUUUCCCCCCUAGAUUGGAAGACCGACGGUGGUGGUGGUGGUCCCCCCCUGGGUGGUGGUGGUCCCCCCCUGGGUGGUGGCGAUUCCUUGUGUGUGUGUGAUUUCCCCCAUUUAAGAUUUCCUUUAUGCACGUCACGUUUUGCUGUGUGAGUGGGGUGUUCUCCUUUCCUUUGGAUGUCAUUCUCCUCGUUGACCACUCCUCCAGCCGGUAAGCCUUCAUCCAUCAAUUCCCCCUUUUUAGUUGGGCUCCUUAUUUUGUUUCCUUGUGCCAAACCCUGUGUUCAUUUUAACUAAUAAAUUAUUGUAUGUGAUUAUUUAACUCCAUCUCCUGCCCUCCCUGAGUGAAUGAACCUGAGUGUCCUUGUGUAAAGGUGAUUAUUGACCUUAAGUAUGGGUCCUUGGGCCCUAACCCAAGGUGGCGUUGUUGGUGUUUUAAAAGAAAGAUCCUCUGAUCUGAAC